rnacentral:rRNA from 1 species
GAUGAACGCUAGCUACAGGCUUAACACAUGCAAGUCGAGGGGUCUUUUGGAGCUUGCUUUAAAAGACGACCGGCGCACGGGUGAGUAACGCGUAUCCAACCUGCCCUUCAUAUUGGGAUAGCCUUCCGAAAGGAAGAUUAAUACCGAAUAACAUGAUAGAGUUGCCUGAUUUUAUCAUGAAAGUCCCGGCGAUGAAGGGUGGGGAUGCGUUCCAUUAGGUAGUAGGCGGGGUAACGGCCCACCUAGCCGACGAUGGAUAGGGGUUCUGAGAGGAAGGUCCCCCACACUGGAACUGAGACACGGUCCAGACUCCUACGGGAGGCAGCAGUGAGGAAUAUUGGUCAAUGGGCGCAAGCCUGAACCAGCCAAGUAGCGUGAAGGAUGACUGCCCUAUGGGUUGUAAACUUCUUUUAUACGGGAACAAACCCCGGUACGUGUACCGGAUUGCGUGUACCGUAUGAAUAAGUAUCGGCUAACUCCGUGCCAGCCGCCGCAGUAAAAC